rnacentral:rRNA from 1 species
UGCCAGCCGCCGCGGUAAUACGGGGGGAGCAAGCGUUGUCCGGAAUCAUUGGGCGUAAAGGGUGCGUAGGCGGGCUAUUAAGUCUGAUGUGAAAGCCCACGGCUUAACCGUGGAGAGUCAUUGGAUACUGAUAGUCUUGAAUCACAGAGGGGCUAGCGGAAUUCCAGGUGUAGCGGUGAAAUGCGUAGAUAUCUGGAGGAACAUCGGUGGCGAAGGCGACUGGCUGGCUGUUGAUUGACGCUGAGGCGCGAAGGCGUGGGGAGCAAACAGGAUUAGAUA